rnacentral:tRNA from 1 species
AGCUCUGUGGCGCAAUGGAUAGCGCAUUGGACUUCUAGGCUGUGAGCUGAGCCAUUCAAAGGUUGUGGGUUCGAGUCCCACCAGAGUUG